UUUGCAAUCUGAAACAUCAAAAUAUUUAUGUCUUUAGGGAAAAAUGAACCGACAGAAAACAAAUCGAGAUCUGUCCAAGCUGAUGUUUCUUCUUUUCUGUUCGAAGAGAUCUUUCUUCUUCUCUUUUUUUUUUCUUUCCAAAAAAGAUGUUUCUUCUUUUCUCAGUCAGCUGGAAGAAAAGCGAUAUGAUUAUAUAUAAGUCACCGAUGGUUAAGAGAAAGAGACGAAGAAGGGUUCUUCAUCCGAAAGGAAGAUGGCCGGUGAUCGGAGAGACCUUAGCCUUUAUUGCGUGUGGAUAUUCUUCUCGGCUUGUUACCUUUGUGGAACAAAUAAAAGGCUUUGAUGGAGUUUCCGAUUUGGAAUAAAUGGUCAAUAAUACAAAACCACCAAUAGUCCAGAUUCAUGCGAAGCUCGUUUAAGUAAAGAUGAUAAGAGGCGAAGACUUAUAGCACAACCAGAUGAAGAAAAUGUUUCCACUACUGAGAAAAGAUAAAUUUUUUUUGUUUGUUUCUCUACUCUUAACUCAUUUUUUAAUGGUUUUAGCUUACGGGUUUUUAACCUUUUUUUUAGGAGCUAAUGUAUAAAGCUUUUAACUUUUCUUUAUAGGAACCUUUGUUUAGGAGCUUAUGUCGACUUACUUCAAAUGUCUGGCCAAUGAACGUAAUCUUUUACAUGUGGUUGCUUACUCUCCAAUUGUUCUUUACAGGAGUCACCGACAUGUUUUCAAUGGUCUUCCACUCACCAAUCACACAUUUACUACCCAAACUCAUCAACUGAUUCUGUCUACAUGUGUGGAUCGUUUUCACCUGAAUACACCAGUCGAUUCUGCGAGGCUUCAACUGUGAAAGGUCAUGUUUCGAAGCUUGUAUUGAUCAUUUGGCAAAGACGGCGAUGAGUUGAUGGUGAUAAGCUGAGGCAAAAAAAAUAUCAUCAUUCUCGUAUAUGCUGUGUAAAGUGAGGUUGGUUCAUAAUAACUAUAUUGAUGAGACAUAUCAUGUUA